UGAAUAUCCGAGUCGAGUUGAAUCUGUGACGCCCCUAAAAUAGGUAUACAUCACCCAUCUUGAGUCGCCAAAUACAUGGUACAAAAUUCAAAUAUAACUUAAUAAUACAGCUGUCGUGUAAAAUACGACAAAACGUAAACUAAGAGUUUAAAAAGAAUAUUGUCAUCUAGACAAUAUCCACACUCAAAAGAGUCCUCUUUACAUUUAUUUUUACACUAUUUAACAGAAUAGUGAGGACUAUUAAAACUAUCACCUGGACCGUCACUCCGUUCCUCGACUAGUCCCGGCUACAUUCUCAUUUCCUGAAGAGAACAGUGAAAGAAAGGGUGAGCUCAACUAGCCCAGUAAGAAAUAUUAUGACUAAGAUAAUGCAGAAUAAAUUGUCACUAGCAUUCAACAAUGUUAAACUGAUAAAAUAUAACAAACAUCAAGUUUAACUGCAGCGGAACAAGCAAUCCAUUAAAAGAGUCAAGUAGAGAAUAAAAUCUACUAUCUUUUAUGAUUUAAAAGGUUUUUCAUNNNNNNNNNNNNNNNNNNNNNNNNNNNNNNNNNNNNNNNNNNNNNNNNNNNNNNNNNNNNNNNNNNNNNNNNNNNNNNNNNNNNNNNNNNNNNNNNNNNNUGAAAAGAUACUGGAUGAAGCGCAAAUAUCAAGGAUAUUCCACUAAUUUCAUGGAGUAUAGAAGUCAAAACUUUAACCAACUGAGUAUAAUAAAGAAUGAGAUAACAAAAGAAAUCACCAGGCAUACGAUAGACCGCACAGACAGGUUAUUCCAACAAAAUAAUAAAUAACGGAACCAGGUCAUGCGCAAACGCACAGACAGGAUGUUCCAACAGAAUAAUAAAUAACGGAACUAGGUCAUGCGUAACGCACCGACAUGAUGUUUCAACAAAAUAAUAAAAAUGGAAUAACAGAAGAAUUUCACCAUGUAUGCGGUACUUCGUAUAGACAGGUUAUUCCAACAUAAUAUAAAGAAUGGAAUAACAAAAGAAUUUCACCAAGUAUAGGGUAGCCCGCGUUUACAGGUUAUUCCAAUAGAAUAAUAAAUAAUGGAAUAACAGAAGUUCUCUUCACGAAUAAGAAAGAAAUAAUACCCCUUACCUUAGUAGAAAAUUGGAUACCACAAUAUUGUAGUAACAGAAGAUUCUUCUUAUUUCUCUCAUAUUCUCUCUAUUCUUUCUCGCUCUAAAGUUUUAGUGAAUUCGUGAAAAAUAAUGAAGGAAUGAGCUUCUAUUUAUAAGCUUGGUAGAGUAAGGGUAAAAUAGUCUGUUCGCCAUAAUUUAUGACAUCAUCGAUCAUAUGACAUCAUUGCUUACAUCAUCGAUCAAAUGACAUCAUUGCUUACAUCAUCCUUCCGAUGACAUCAUUGCUUACCUCAUCGUUCUAAUGACAUCAUCCCUUACAUCAUCAAAAUUCAAAUUCAAAUUGUUCUCUUCCACCUCAUUUUACUUUUAUACCAUGAAUUUACUAUAAUAAUGUUACCAUUCAAAUAUUAUAAAAAAAACAUACUAUCAUAUAAUCACAUCAUACUACUAUAAUAUAAUAUUAUAAUAAUAUAUUUAAAUGAAUUAUUGAUUUGAUAAUUUGAAAUACUGUGUAAUGACAAUUAUUGAAUCAAAAAUAUCAACGUAGCAAUUAUUGAAUCAAUAAAAUAUUAAACAUUAAUUACUGUAACAAUUAUUUAGUAGUGCAUUCUUACGUAAGAAUUAAUAAUUCAAAAAAUAUUGUGCAAUACCGUGUGCUACUGUGCAACAACGCGUGUUACUGUAUUUUAACCACCAGGUAUUCCAACAGUGUUAACGGUAACUCUUCCGCCGUUAUUUUCAUAAAAAUAUUUUUGUCGUUUUCUAACUCCGACAAUAAUUCCGUUGUGGGGUCCACCAAUGAUUGUGUCGUCGUACGAAUAUUCUCCGACAAAAAGAAUAUUCCCCGACCAAACGAAUCUUUUAUAACAACUUGCGUACUUUGCAAAAUUUAUAAAUAUUACCCACAACUAUAACAUUAUAUCAAAUUCAUUCUAUAAUUUUAAAAAAAUAUUUCGAAAAAAUUAAAUCUUUAUUCAUAAAAUUUGGGGUCUUACAGAAUCUAAGUAGAAUUUUUUUAAAUACAAUUCGAAUUCGAGUCAAUUUGAGUAUGAAUUUAACUUUUUGUGUCGAAUCCAACUAACUCUCGUUCGAGUAUGUUCGAUUCGUUUAUACUAUUAAUUAUAUAAUAAUUGUUUAUAUUUAUUUAAAUUUUUUGAGUUUUUUUUUUGUGUUAACAACUCAUAUUAGUUAGGCUAAAAAUGAAUCUGAAUUGUUUGAAACUCAAUUCGGGAUCGACUUGAGACUCGAAUUCGAUACUUAAACAAGUGGAAUUCAAAUCAAUUUUAAUACUCUAAUACUUAUACGAGUCGAAUAUGAGUCAUCCACUGUUCGCUCAUUUAGAAUAUCGAAUUUUCAUUACUUCAUUAAUACAUACUAUAUACAAGUUUGUUAAUCCUUACUCAUAUACACUAUUAAGUGUACUCAAUUUAUUUAAUAUAUAUUAUUUAAUAAUUAAAAUUUUCACAUAUUUUUAGAAUUGAAAAUAGUUCAUUAAUUAUUUUAAGAGUGAUAAUAUCAUUUCAUUAAAUUUUUAUUACAAGGCUAGAUAUUUAAUUUGAAAUGUUCAAACUUUAAUUAUAUCAACUGCUUAACUGAAUUAAUUUUAUAUACAUUAUCAUAACAUAAAUAAUUUAAUUUUAAUUCGUGUAUGUUUUAAAUCCUUGCGAGUAGUUGGAUUAAAAACAAACCGAAUUGAACUGAAUUCGAGUAUAAUAAAACGAGUCUAAUUUGAAUAUGAGUAAAUAUUACAAAAUUGAAUAGAACAAAAUUUAACAUGUUAGUUGUAUAAUUUAUGAUUUGUUGGGUUUUAAGUAGUUUUGUUAGGGUGACCUGGCACAGGUUUCCAUUUCAUUAGUGCACGUGUGCUUGAUUCUUUGUUGAAGAAAAAGACAUUGUUGGGACGGACGGCACGGGAAUCAAAAGAAAAGUCUACACUCAUAGUACUACAGUAGGCAGUAGGCAGUAGGCAGUAGGCAGCAAGCCAGGGUAGUGGUAGGCUGGUGGUGUGGGACAAUUUCCUAACUUCCGGCAGUAGGUAGAUUCACUCUAUGUAGAAGCGAGGCGACACCGACGGUCGAAUGCAGUUAAAUGCGAAUUUGUGUUAAUUUUGGACGGUGUUUGUUUGGGAGGAAGGAUAGGUGGUUGGCUGGUUGCUCUUUCUCUCUCUCUCUCUCUCAGGUAGGGAAAUCUCGUGAUUCUGAAUAAAAUACAAAUUUUGUGUAUGGAGUAUAUGUAGUACUGUAUUUUUUAUUUAGGGAAAAAAUGUCUAUUCUUUUGAGAAGCUAAUGUAGACUCGACUCACUCUGAGAGCUAGCUAGCUAGCUAGCUAGUUACCUCUCUCUCUCUCUCUCUAAAGUAGUAGUACUAAGGGAAAGAAAGGGAUGUUUUAUUUUCCUUGGAAUUUGGAAAAGAGUUAAAAGAGAGUAGUAUAUGUUUGGAUGGAAGAUUUGGUAUCCUGAGAGAGGACUGGAAUCUGGAAAGCUGACAACUAAACCUUGUAGCCGAGCCGAGCCGAGCCAUUCAUUCAGCCUUUGAAAGACCAAAACAAGGGGAGGGGAGGGGAGUUUUAUACUACUUCAUUUUAGUUUUUAAUUGUAGGGGUUGGGGUUGGGAUUGAGUCUUGGAUCGACCAACACAUUCAUCAUCAUCUAUGGUGAAUUCUGAUUUCCCAUCGGCCUCUUGAAUACAACACAUACACAUACACAUACACAUACACAUACACAUACACAUAAUUUGGCUGAACUGAAUGAAUACACACUAAAUCGAUGGUAGUGAUCAUUUGAGAACUCAAUUUCGCUUAACCUGUAAAUUGUGUCCAAAAAAAAUAAAACUUUGUUUUGAAAUGAAAAUAUAUAUAAGUAAACAAAUCUUAAUUAUAAUAAUAAUACUACAGUUCAGUUCAUUGAUAUAAAACGUUGUUGACACCUUGAAUCUAUUAUUACCCAAUGUUAUAAUAAUAAAAACAAACAUUUCAUUUCAGGAGAAAACAGAUGGGACGACUGACUGACUGACUUCCUUCCACUAUAUAUGAUGAGCUAGAUUAAUGCUAUAACGGUCACUUAGGAUCUCACCUGAACCCGACCGUUGCUCUGUCACGUGUGGCGAGCGCAAGCAAGGACUGGAACUGACUCUACUCAACUCAACUCAUUAUUAAUAGUUAGUAGAGUAUGGGCGGUGAAAGGCCAAUGAAGGAAGGAUGUUUUAUUUGGUCCGUUAAGGAGGUGUGAGGAUGAUGACCCUCACCUCACCUAUGACCUAUGUAUGUGAGGUGGUGGGGGUGUCAAG
rnacentral:lncRNA from 1 species